AUAGAGAGAGAGAGCAGGAAAGAGGUUGAACUUUGGAACAGUGGGUUUCAGGAUCUAUGCCUCUCUGCCAGUUCAGUACAGGGUGGACUCUGCGCUGGCCAGAGAGAGUAUGGCAGCGGUGGAGAAGGUGAGCAGGGAAUCAGUAGGCAGUGACUAAUCCAGACCAAACAUGAGCACUUCAGAUGUGGUAUCAUCACCGUCAGGAGCAACCGCGCCCCAUUUCCAAACAAAGUGUCAAGAUGAGCAUUGCCAUCGGAUGGAAAGGGUGUUGCUCGAAAGACUCUGUACACAGCUCAAAUACCUUACGUUUUUACUUCACUGCUGUUAUAAAGUACAAAAUCAGUCAUGAUGUUGGAUUACUAUCAGAUGAUUUAUGAAGUAGCAGAGUCAGACAUUACCUUUUAAACAACCAGACACUGCUGGACCUGCUGGGAUUCUUCAACAUUGCUGGAAUAAACACAGACACCGACCUUUAUAUAGGUCCUUUGGAACAGUGACCAAUGGACACAGGGCUAUCAUCGCUUUGGUCACAGAGAAAUGAAGAAGGGCCAGCCACAUCAGCAAGCCCAGGACCAGCAGGAAGACCCACUGGAGACUGAACAGCUGAGCUCUCAUUCAUAAAAAUACCUUGAUAUACAUACGUCGUCACUAAGGCAGUUCAGUUUGAACAGCAGCAUAUUGAAGAAACAAAUAAACGUGGAGUUUGACUGAAUUCAAUGAACAAACCAAAGACGUUUCUUAUUAGAACCAGACUGUAUUUACCUGCAUUUGAGGCAUCAGGAGUUUCCAAUAACUGAAAGGACCACAAUUUACUUUCAGCAGAAAGAUCUCAGAUGGUGGUCUUUCCCCACUGCCUCAAGCUUUAGUGCGUCCCUCAGCACAUAGUCCUGGACCCUGGAAUGUGCCAGGCUGCUACACUUGGUUGGGGUCAACUCUGGAAGACGAACAAGCUCCGGGCAGAUCAAAGAGCAUCUUUCACCAAGUUGAUAGUCCUCAAGGUGCAGUGAUGUCUGUCCCAGGGAACAGCCGCUUGAGCACAGAGUCCUGCAUCACAGAGCUACUCAGUGUGAACCUCAGCAAAACCUACUGCAUCUUCCUCCUUGUGAAGACACAUUCCAAAAGGAGAUGUGUGACAAUCUCUAUCCACUGCAGCUGUUUCGAGGGCAGCGUGCGGUAGUGCUGACAGACUGGGCUUACUUGAAGGAUCUGA